GGUCAUCUCCAUGGAAGAUCCUUAAAGAUAUCUUAUGAGUAUCUUAGCUCAAAAAAAAAAGAAAAAAAAAAUCAAAACUGCCAAAUACACCUAGCAUCGGCGCUUAGUAACAAAUUUUUUUGAAGCGGAGGAGGAAGUCUGAGAAGGAAACGGCCUGAAGUUUAUACUUGAGAAAUCUGUGAACAAGGGUGAUGCUUCUACUGUGUUAAGUUACAGAGGGUUAUCAAAUUCAACGGCGGAAUGGCUCGGUCUAGACAAAGAACUGAAGAAGCUUGUGGUUGACACAACUGCCAAUCAAUUUUAUAUGAUUUACACAGAGAGACUAUGUGAGGAAGUGUUGAAGUGUUGAUUAAUUUAAGGCAUAUCGGUGGAGGUAACUUUUCUACAUCCAUACGUCUUUGGACAUCGUCAAGACACUGUGAUUUAUAUCUUCCCUUAUCUUGUUCCCUUUAUGAAAUCCGGGGACGCAGUUGAGUAUCGACACUCCUACUAAAUCUACAGGGAACACAGACAAUAGACUGAUGAAGAAGCUGAAAGAGUUUGAUGGACUUGUUAUGUCUCUAGGAAAUGGAAAUCCUGAAACUGGUAAAGAUGAACAUAACUUUUCAAAAUUAAAAUUAAUCAUUUUGUAAUCUAUUUUUAAUAUGUUUUAUGUCCUGUUUGUUUAAACUUUUAU